rnacentral:rRNA from 1 species
CGUAGGGUGCGAGCGUUAAUCGGAAUUACUGGGCGUAAAGUGUGCGCAGGUGGCUGAGCAAGUCGAGUGUGAAAUCCCCGGGCUUAACUUGGGAAUUGCGCUCGAAACUACUUGGCUCGAGUGUGGCAGAGGAAGGUGGAAUUCCAGGUGUAGCGGUGAAAUGCGUAGAGAUCUGGAGGAACACCGAUGGCGAAGUCAGCCUUCUGGGCCAACACUGACGCUCAUGCACGAAAGCGUGGGGAGCAAGCAGGAUUAGAUACCCUGGUAGUCCACGCCCUAAACGAUGAUGACUAGUUGUUGGGGGAGUUAAAUCCCUUAGUAACGCAGCUAACGCGUGAAGUCAUCCGCCUGGGGAGUACGGUCGCAAGAUUA